UACGGAGGAGGCAAGCGUUAUCCGGAAUUAUUGGGCGUAAAGCGUCCGUAGGUGGCUAGUCAAGUCUGCGGUCAAAGACUGGGGCUUAACCCUGGAAAGGCCGUGGAAACUGACGAGCUAGAGUGCAGUAGGGGUAGAGGGAAUUCCCGGUGUAGCGGUGAAAUGCGUAGAGCUCGGGAAGAACAUCGGUGGCGAAGGCGGCGUCCUGGACCAACACUGACACUGAGGAGCGAAAGCCAGGGGAGCAAACGGG
rnacentral:rRNA from 1 species